GUCAACAUCCUUAACGAAUGUAAUCACGUUCUAACCUGUUGAACGUUAUCUUAGAUAACCGUAAGCACGCUUUCGGCACCUGAGCAACUUUCAGAGGCCAGACGGAUAGCCCAAAGGGUAUUCGUUGCAAUCCUCAGUCUCAAUCACCACAUCUACCAGAGGCUAUAACACUUCAACCGAAAUCGAAGCUACAUUCCGCCGGUCAUUUUAUGAUAAUCGAAACUGACGUUGGCCUACCAUACGAAAAAGUACACCCAAAACGCACAAACAUGCAAACAGCGAGGCCGAAACUCACGCACGCCCACAAGUUCGCACACGGUAAGUUGAUUUCUCGUCGGUACGACUGACUUCAAUCGUUUCCCUUUCAA
rnacentral:rRNA from 1 species